rnacentral:rRNA from 1 species
AUUGAACGCUGGCGGUAUGCUUAACACAUGCAAGUCGAACGGCAGCAUGGUCUAGCUUGCUAGACUGAUGGCGAGUGGCGGACGGGUGCGUAACGCGUAUGCAACCUACCUUUAACAGGGGGAUAACGGAGAGAAAUUUCCACUAAUACCCCCUAAUAUCAGAAGAGGCAUCUCUUUCGGUUUAAAUCUCCGGAGGUUAAAGAUUGGCAUGCGUUGUAUUAGGUGGUUGGUGGGGUAAUGGCUCGCCAAGCCUACGAUACAUAGGGGGACUGAGAGGUUAGCCCCCCACACUGGUACUGAGACACGGACUAGACUCCUACGGGAGGCUGCAGUGAGGAAUAUUGGUCAAUGGGGGCAACCCUGAACCAGCCAUGCUGCGUGCAGGAAGACGGCUCUAUGAGUUGUAAACUGCUUUUGUACAGGGAUAAAUCGGGGAACGUGUUCCCCGUUGAAGGUACUGUACGAAUAAGGAUCGGCUAACUCCGUGCCAGCCGCCGCAGUAA